rnacentral:rRNA from 1 species
CACCUCCCACCCGUGUUUAUUUUACCUUGUUGCUUCGGCGGGCCCGCCUUAACUGGCCGCCGGGGGGCUUACGCCCCCGGGCCCGCGCCCGCCGAAGACACCCUCGAACUCUGUCUGAAGAUUGUAGUCUGAGUGAAAAUAUAAAUUAUUUAAAACUUUCAACAACGGAUCUCUUGGUUCCGGCAUCGAUGAAGAACGCAGCGAAAUGCGAUACGUAAUGUGAAUUGCAAAUUCAGUGAAUCAUCGAGUCUUUGAACGCACAUUGCGCCCCCUGGUAUUCCGGGGGGCAUGCCUGUCCGAGCGUCAUUGCUGCCCUCAAGCACGGCUUGUGUGUUGGGCCCCGUCCUCCGAUCCCGGGGGACGGGCCCGAAAGGCAGCGGCGGCACCGCGUCCGGUCCUCGAGCGUAUGGGGCUUUGUCACCCGCUCUGUAGGCCCGGCCGGCGCUUGCCGAUCAACCCAAAUUUUUAUCCAGGUUGACCUCGGAUCAGGUAGGGAUACCCGCUGAACUUAAGCAUAUCAAUAAGCGGAG